ACUUUGUCCUGACCUCAGUGAGACCCGCAGGAGUGCCGAAUGCCAUCGGCGUGUGCGCACGGAGUCCCAGCGCCUGUCCCCAGCAGUGGGUGGUGACAGCUAUUUCAGACGCUGCUUACCGCCCGUGAGUCCCUUUGUUCCCGGCUCCAGGACUGGGUGAGGAGCGACACUGGACACGCUGAAGGAUUAUGAUAAUCCUGUUCUUCCUUCAGUGUCCCGUACCAUGGCAGGUGAUGACCACUGAGCCAUGUUCUGCUGAGCCGGCUGCUCCACACUCACCCUUCAGGCCUGCGUUCUCCAGCAGAUUCAUCAAGCUGAUACCUACUCGAAGAGUGCGGCACUUGGUUUUGGGCAAAUAAAGGUAAAACAUGUUCCAGUGGGUGGAAGUUGGACCCUGAAUCAAGGCAUACAUUUUUAAGCAAGGAGUGAAGCUUUUUCACCACUGCAGUCCCUGGCAGAGGAGCUGUGCGCUUCAUCUGCUGUUCUCUGAUACAGUCUUGCCACUGUCAGCAGGGCUCACAGGGCCACCUCCUGCCCUCUGCGCUGGUGGUUGUUGCUGGCGGAGUCACCCGUUUCUGGUGGACACUAGCUGUUGUGACUGAAAGCCAGUGCAGCUGCAGGCUGUGGCCUUAGAGGGGGUCUGGCACACUGACCAGGACAACCCUGUGUGCCCUGGAAAUCUCUGAAUUCUGGUAGACUAAGAAAUGACCCUGUACUUGCCUAGCUCAGGAUCACCAGACCGGUCUUCUUUUGAGGCUUGUGAAACACAUACCCCAGAGAAGGCAGUAAUGAUCACCAUGUAAUGCAUGUUCAGCUCCUGGUUUUAUGGUUUCUGCAAAGCCUGUUUUGGGGACAUGUUUUUAAGCUAUUUGGGGAAGAACAGAUGAGCUUUUGGCACACAGUUCUACAUCAAAUCUCAGUUGCCAGGCUGAGUUUAUUGGUAGAGACCUUGUAUAUUGCACAGGCUGCUGCCUGUGCCCGACCAUCCUCUAGAAUGGAAACUUGAACCAAUGAUUUUCAUAAUGAAUGUGCAAUAAAUCUGUGAAAAAG
rnacentral:lncRNA from 1 species